rnacentral:rRNA from 1 species
CCGGCGAUGUCCGAAUGGGGAAACCCAGUGCAAUUCGUUGCACUAUCGUUAACUGAAUACAUAGGUUAACGAGGCGAACCGGGGGAACUGAAACAUCUAAGUACCCCGAGGAAAAGAAAUCAACCGAGAUUCCCCCAGUAGCGGCGAGCGAACGGGGAGCAGCCCAGAGUCUGAAUCAGCUUGUGUGUUAGUGGAACGGUCUGGAAAGUCCGACGGUACAGGGUGAUAGUCCCGUACACCAAAAUGCACAGGUUGUGAACUCGAAGAGUAGGGCGGGACACGUGGUAUCCUGUCUGAAUAUGGGGGGACCAUCCUCCAAGGCUAAAUACUCCUGACUGACCGAUAGUGAACCAGUACCGUGAGGGAAAGGCGAAAAGAACCCCGGCGAGGGGAGUGAAAAAGAACCUGAAACCGUGUACGUACAAGCAGUGGGAGCACCUUCGGGUGUGACUGCGUACCUUUUGUAUAAUGGGUCAGCGACUUAUAUUCUGUAGCAAGGUUAACCGUAUAGGGGAGCCGCAGGGAAACCGAGUCUUAACUGGGCGUUAAGUUGCAGGGUAUAGACCCGAAACCCGGUGAUCUAGCCAUGGGCAGGUUGAAGGUUGGGUAACACUAACUGGAGGACCGAACCGACUAAUGUUGAAAAAUUAGCGGAUGACUUGUGGCUGGGGGUGAAAGGCCAAUCAAACCGGGAGAUAGCUGGUUCUCCCCGAAAGCUAUUUAGGUAGCGCCUCGUGAACUCAUCUUCGGGGGUAGAGCACUGUUUCGGCUAGGGGGUCAUCCCGACUUACCAACCCGAUGCAAACUACGAAUACCGAAGAAUGUUAUCACGGGAGACACACGGCGGGUGCUAACGUCCGUCGUGAAGAGGGAAACAACCCAGACCGCCAGCUAAGGUCCCAAAGUCAUGGUUAAGUGGGAAACGAUGUGGGAAGGCACAGACAGCCAGGAUGUUGGCUUAGAAGCAGCCAUCAUUUAAAGAAAGCGUAAUAGCUCACUGGUCGAGUCGGCCUGCGCGGAAGAUGUAACGGGGCUAAACCAUGCACCGAAGCUGCGGCAGCGACACUAUGUGUUGUUGGGUAGGGGAGCGUUCUGUAAGCCUGCGAAGGUGACCUGUGAGGGUUGCUGGAGGUAUCAGAAGUGCGAAUGCUGACAUAAGUAACGAUAAAGCGGGUGAAAAGCCCGCUCGCCGGAAGACCAAGGGUUCCUGUCCAACGUUAAUCGGGGCAGGGUGAGUCGACCCCUAAGGCGAGGCCGAAAGGCGUAGUCGAUGGGAAACAGGUUAAUAUUCCUGUACUUGGUGUUACUGCGAAGGGGGGACGGAGAAGGCUAUGUUAGCCGGGCGACGGUUGUCCCGGUUUAAGCAUGUAGGCUGAUUGUCCAGGCAAAUCCGGAUAAUCAAGGCUGAGGUGUGAUGACGAGGCACUACGGUGCUGAAGUAACAAAUGCCCUGCUUCCAGGAAAAGCCUCUAAGCAUCAGGUAACAUCAAAUCGUACCCCAAACCGACACAGGUGGUCAGGUAGAGAAUACCAAGGCGCUUGAGAGAACUCGGGUGAAGGAACUAGGCAAAAUGGUGCCGUAACUUCGGGAGAAGGCACGCUGGUGUGUAGGUGAAGUCCCUGCGGAUGGAGCUGAGACCAGUCGAAGAUACCAGCUGGCUGCAACUGUUUAUUAAAAACACAGCACUGUGCAAACACGAAAGUGGACGUAUACGGUGUGACGCCUGCCCGGUGCCGGAAGGUUAAUUGAUGGGGUUAUCCGUAAGGAGAAGCUCUUGAUCGAAGCCCCGGUAAACGGCGGCCGUAACUAUAACGGUCCUAAGGUAGCGAAAUUCCUUGUCGGGUAAGUUCCGACCUGCACGAAUGGCGUAAUGAUGGCCAGGCUGUCUCCACCCGAGACUCAGUGAAAUUGAACUCGCUGUGAAGAUGCAGUGUACCCGCGGCAAGACGGAAAGACCCCGUGAACCUUUACUAUAGCUUGACACUGAACAUUGAGCCUUGAUGUGUAGGAUAGGUGGGAGGCUUUGAAGCGUGGACGCCAGUCUGCGUGGAGCCAACCUUGAAAUACCACCCUUUAAUGUUUGAUGUUCUAACGUUGGCCCCUGACCGGGGUUGCGGACAGUGUCUGGUGGGUAGUUUGACUGGGGCGGUCUCCUCCCAAAGCGUAACGGAGGAGCACGAAGGUUAGCUAAUCCUGGUCGGACAUCAGGAGGUUAGUGCAAUGGCAUAAGCUAGCUUGACUGCGAGCGUGACGGCGCGAGCAGGUGCGAAAGCAGGUCAUAGUGAUCCGGUGGUUCUGAAUGGAAGGGCCAUCGCUCAACGGAUAAAAGGUACUCCGGGGAUAACAGGCUGAUACCGCCCAAGAGUUCAUAUCGACGGCGGUGUUUGGCACCUCGAUGUCGGCUCAUCACAUCCUGGGGCUGAAGUAGGUCCCAAGGGUAUGGCUGUUCGCCAUUUAAAGUGGUACGCGAGCUGGGUUUAGAACGUCGUGAGACAGUUCGGUCCCUAUCUGCCGUGGGCGCUGGAGAAUUGAGGGGGGCUGCUCCUAGUACGAGAGGACCGGAGUGGACGCAUCACUGGUGUUCGGGUUGUCAUGCCAAUGGCACUGCCCGGUAGCUAAAUGCGGAAGAGAUAAGUGCUGAAAGCAUCUAAGCACGAAACUUGCCCCGAGAUGAGUUCUCCCUGAGACUUUAAGUCUCCUGAAGGAACGUUAAAGACGAUGACGUUGAUAGGCCGGGUGUGUAAGCGCAGCGAUGCGUUGAGCUAACCGGUACUAAUGAACCGUGAGGCUUAACCUU